rnacentral:rRNA from 1 species
GAUAAACGCUGGCGGCGCACAUAAGACAUGCAAGUCGAACGGAAGUCGUUAUAAAAAGGAUUGAAGAUUUAUCUGAUUGAGAUUUUAUAACAAUGGCUUUAGUGGCGGACUGGUGAGUAACGCGUGAGCAACCUGCCUACUAGAGGGGAAUAACAGUGAGAAAUCAUUGCUAAUACCGCAUAUGCCAUGAACAUCACAUGAUGAAAAAUGGGAAAAGAGUAAUCUGCUAGUAGAUGGGCUCGCGUCUGAUUAGAUAGUUGGUGGGGUAACGGCCUACCAAGUCGACGAUCAGUAGCCGACCUGAGAGGGUGACCGGCCACAUUGGGACUGAGACACGGCCCAA